rnacentral:lncRNA from 1 species
CCAGGACCGCUGGGUGCCAUCUCGGAUUUUUGUCUUGAGUUUAAGCCAUCACUGCAUUGCCUUAUUGGCUCAUCCUUAUCCAUCCCCUAUGCCUGGGGGACAAAACCUCUCUGUUAAGAACAGACAAGCCCAUGUCUACAUCAACACAAACACCCUAGUCAACCAGGAUGGAUGCCCAUCUCCAGAACUUGGCAAACAACAGAAUAACUGUGCGCCUCAGCGGCUGCCAUGCUCUGGCAGGGUACACAGAUUGUGUGCGCCAAGGGUGCUGCUGACACUGGCUUCUUGUGUUCCCAUGAGCAGGUCUUCCCAUGUGUUCUCCCGAGGAGAGGAUAUGGAAAUUGGAACUGUAGAUCUGAGUACUGGCCACCUCGAUGGGAUCAAAUGCCACCUAAAGACCCAGAGUCUCCAAAGUCUAAGUAAAGAACUGGCCAAGGAAGGCCAAACCAGACAACCCAAAGGAUCCCCUUUGCCAGAAUCUUGGACCACAAGCUGUGUGAAACCAACGGAGCGCAUUUGGAUUCUUGCUUAUAAUUUCCACCCGUGGCACUAGUGGUGAAGAACCUGCCUGCCAAUGCAGAAGAUGGGUUCGAUCUCUGGGUUGGGAAGAUCCCCUGGAGAAGGGCAUGGCAACCCACUCCAGUAUUCUUGCCUGGAGAAUUCCAUGGGCAGAAGAGCCUGGCAGGCUACCAUCCAUGGGGUCGCGAAGAAUCUGACACGACUGAGCAACUAACACUACUGCUGCUGCUGAAGCAUCUCUGCAGGUGACUUCAAGGCCGGCUUUGAAGUCAGUCUCCACAGCACAGAAGGAUUCUUUCUGCACCUGUUUUCUUCGGGGUGAACUUACAAACUGAUAAGGGCGGUUGACGAUUCAACACAAUGAACUGGCUGCUGCUUAGAGCUUUGAUUGGCUCUGACAAAGGCUCCUUGAGCUUGGUUGAAAACAAGAUUGGAUUUGUCUUUGUUGGUCUCGGCCUUUUCUGCUGGAGACCUUCACUUUAGUCUUGAGAAGCUGGAGGAUUCCUGGAAGGUUCUGUAGGUUGAGGUCUGUCCUUGGUGGGGAUGGCUGAGGGGCCUACAUGAAAUGGUCAUCCAGUCACUUCGAGGAACACCCGGGGAUGGUGCCAGCCGAGGACAUUUUGGGGGAUGAUUUUUAUACGAUGCAUCUUUUAAUAUUUAAAUAUCUGAUUUCAAAAAUUAGAAUGGGUUAGAAAACAUAGAAGGGAUUCAGGAGGAAGAGGAGUAUCGUAGAGAAGCAAUAGCAUGACUGUAAUCCUGGAAUAGCCAGGUUUGAAUUGGCUUUCUCAUAAAGGUGUUAUCACGUGGUUGAAUUUAUAUGAAUUAUCUACAUUUGUAAUGAAGUUCCAGCAUUUUUUUCAGAUUUAUAUUUUAUUCUAUAAGCAUAGCUUUAAUAAUUUAAAAAAAACCACAAUAAAU